CUCGCAAGAGUGAACUAGCUAACUGAAAUCACUAAUUGAUCUUAUCAAUGUGAUAUAGUAAGGGAAAACAAAUGAUAUUACUUUACUUAUAGUGUUGUCUAAUUCUGGUGCCAGAAGACUCGGUAAUACCAGUAACGCGAACGUUAGUCAUCUUUAUCAGGCGUAAAGGGUUUGUAGGCAGCUUUUAAAAAAAAUUCUUAACUAUAUUGUCCUUUUUUAUUUUUUUUUUUUAUUAAAAAAAAAGACAAAAAAGGAAUAAAUAGUUAAGUCUCUAAUUUGAGAGCUAGAAUCAAAUAGAAGUUAAAAAGUAUAAUACUUAGAGAAGGGUUGAUAUUCUUAGAACCUAAGGGGAAUACUAAAGGUGUAAACAACUAACUAUAAAUGAUUGACGCUGAGACACGAAGGUGAGGAUAGGAAAUAGGAUUAGAUACCCCGGUACCCCUCUCUGUAAACGAUGAAUGGUAGUUAUUAGUGUAUUACUGGUAACGAAGCUAACGCGUUAACCAUUCCGCCUUGGGAGUACGAUUGCAAAGUUGAAAACAAAAAAAUUAGUCGGUCUCGGAGCAAACGGAGUGAAGCAU
rnacentral:rRNA from 1 species